AGCAGUGUUCUAAGGCAGCAUGGGUAAUUAAAUACACUAGUAUUUCUGUAUAGCAGUGUAUGAAUAUUUACAGAAAAUGGGAUUAAAAAAGACUAAAUGUAGCCUCAUGUCAGGUCUAUAACUUCUGAGCUUUGACCUUGACCAGACCUGAGGGGUGAUCCUGCCCAUGGGAAGACUAUUUGCUCUACUUCAAGAGGCUGAGCUUCAAGAAAGCUUUGCAGCAAACAGAUGGUGAAGAGGAACAUAAGAGAGAGAGAUUCAGCAUGUAUGCAUGCACAUGUGCACACAAGCAACAUAAGGAGGGGCA